CCUACGGGAGGCAGCAGUGAGGAAUAUUGGUCAAUGGGCGCGAGCCUGAACCAGCCAAGUCGCGUGAAGGAUGAAUGACCUAUGGGUUGUAAACUUCUUUUAUAAAGGAAUAAAGUGAGGAACGUGUGCCUUUUUGUAUGUACCAUAUGAAUAAGGAUCGGCUAACUCCGUGCCAGCAGCCGCGGUAAUACGGAGGAUGCGAGCGUUAUCCGGAUUUAUUGGGUUUAAGGGGUGCGUAGGUGGUUUAUUAAGUAAGUUGUGAAAGUUUGCGGCUCAACCGUAAAAUUGCCGUUGAGACUGGCUGUCUUGAGUACAGUUGAGGUAGGCGGAAUGCGUGGUGUAGCGGUGAAAUGCAUAGAUAUCACGCAGAACUCCGAUUGCGAAGGCAGCUUACUAAACUGUAACUGACACUGAAGUACGAAAGUGUGGGGAUCAAACAGGAUUAGAUACCCCAGUAGUC
rnacentral:rRNA from 1 species